rnacentral:rRNA from 1 species
GACGAACGCUGGCGGCGUGCUUAACACAUGCAAGUCGAGCGGUAAGGCCCUUUCGGGGGUACACGAGCGGCGAACGGGUGAGUAACACGUGGGUGACCUGCCCUCAGCUCUGGGAUAAGCCUGGGAAACCGGGUCUAAUACUGGAUAUGACUCCAUGACGCAUGUUGUGGGGUGGAAAGCCUUGUGCGGCUGAGGAUGGGCCCGCGGCCUAUCAGCUUGUUGGUGGGGUGANGGCCUACCAAGGCGACGACGGGUAGCCGGCCUGAGAGGGCGACCGGCACACUGGGACUGAGACACGGCCCAGACUCC